rnacentral:rRNA from 2 species
UCGACGAAUCUGGUAUUGAUUGGUGCUUGCAUCAUGAUUUACAUUUGAGUGAGUGGCGAACUGGUGAGUAACACGUGGGAAACCUGCCCAGAAGCGGGGGAUAACACCUGGAAACAGAUGCUAAUACCGCAUAACAACUUGGACCGCAUGGUCCGAGCUUGAAAGAUGGCUUCGGCUAUCACUUUUGGAUGGUCCCGCGGCGUAUUAGCUAGAUGGUGGGGUAACGGCUCACCAUGGCAAUGAUACGUAGCCGACCUGAGAGGGUAAUCGGCCACAUUGGGACUGAGACACGGCCCAAACUCCUACGGGAGGCAGCAGUAGGGAAUCUUCCACAAUGGACGAAAGUCUGAUGGAGCAACGCCGCGUGAGUGAAGAAGGGUUUCGGCUCGUAAAACUCUGUUGUUAAAGAAGAACAUAUCUGAGAGUAACUGUUCAGGUAUUGACGGUAUUUAACCAGAAAGCCACGGCUAACUACGUGCCAGCAGCCGCGGUAAUACGUAGGUGGCAAGCGUUGUCCGGAUUAUUGGGCGUAAGCGAGCCCAGGCGGUUUUUUAAGUCUGAUGUGAAAGCCUUCGGCUCA